CUCGCACUGGUUAGACUUGCCCGCUGUGUAAGAGGAAGGUCACACUAAGAAAGUGUGUAGGUUGAGAAAGUGUGUUGGUUGGUUUGACAGAAGCUAGACUAGCCAGAGACAAGCUCUGGGCAAGUAUUUGAGGUAAUAUCUGGAUGUAAUUAAUCGAGGUGAGGAGACCGGCCCUAACUGGGAGGCACCAUCGCUUGGACUGAACAAAAGGUCCUUGAGCCCUGCUGCGAGACGCCCAGGCUUUGGAGGGCAAUAACCUGGGACUGUGAGUCAGCACAAAGCCUUCCUUCUUUACCUUGCUAUCCUCAGGGUAUUUUUCCAUAACAGUAGAAAGGAAUGUAGGCAGUAGGGUACCUGCAAGAUCAGAGAGGAGAUAGGACUGUUGAUGGGGGAGGAUCUUGGAGGGAGAUGCAGAUAAGAAAGUCCCGGUAGAGAGCCCUGGGCAAGUCUCCUUAACACGCUAGGACUCCGUCUGGAGCAGAAGCAUCCAUUGAAGAUGAGGAAUCCGCAGUUCAAGAUAACUAACUGGAUGAUUUUCCCGAUCGUGCCUCAGUGGGACUCAGUAAAAGAACAUCGGACAGACUAGGACUUAAGUGUCUGAGGCCAAAGCGCCACAGUUUAUGCCCGGAAAUAACCGAAUACUUUUAGGAGCCAAAGGAAGGACUUCCGUGAAGGCAGGGACGUGAUAGCUGCACCAGGCGCUGGAUGCAACUUCCCUCCCAUGGCUCCCGCUCCUUCUCUGCAGGCUGGCGCCAGCUGGCGGGGCUCACUGGGCUCAGACUGGAACGAAUGGCCACUUUGAGUUUCAACUCCAAGCGUCCACCAGGGGGAGGCUGCAGGACCUCGCUGUGCAGAGCUGAGAAGGGCUGCCACGUGUCGGAUGAGGACUGCGUGGAGCCGCGGGGUAGCGAGGAGGCUCUGUCGUUCCCCAAAGCAAGGGCUGGGUUCUCCGUGCAAAGGUGUAAUGACACGGAGAAACGGCAGAUUUUAUGGAAUAAAAGAGGAAGCUUCUCGCGACGACGCUUCUGCGAGGUAUCUGAACCAAGCCAGCUUUCCUGGGAGGAUCAAGAAUUUCAACUCCUGGAUUCCAGGAGAGCAGGAUGGAGAACAAUGGGAAGUCUGUGGUUAGGGAGGGGACCUGCAGUUCCACACGCGGACACCGGAGGGGAGGCAGAGGACACUUGGUCCUUGGUUUUAAUUCAUUUCUAUUUAUUUAUUUAUUCCUGCCUAGUAGGAAUGGAGAGAUCUGAUCUUUCAAAAAAGAAAUAAAUAAAUAAAAGCAAUCAAACAAAAACAAUUUUAAAA
ensembl:lncRNA LOC103692512 uncharacterized LOC103692512